rnacentral:misc_RNA from 1 species
GAUGAAGAACGCAGCGAAGUGCGAUAAGUAAUGUGAAUUGCAGAAUUCCGUGAAUCAUCGAAUCUUUGAACGCAAAUUGCACUCUCUGGCAACCCGGGGAGUAUACCUGUUUGAGGGUCAGUGUUAAUAAAAAUCGGUGCGUUGCAAUUUUUGUGACGUUUCCGGAGUUUGAGUUAUCUUAACCCUUCUGUGGUUUAAGAGGCUUAAAAUUGACCUUUUUUUGUGCAUUUUAGACGUACAUAAAUCUUUUUUAUUCGUCCAUCCUAAUGCCAAAAUCUAUUAGAUGCGACCAUAUCAUGUGGUUCCGUAUCCAUAAAUUUUUCAUGAUUUGACCUCAAAUCAGGUAGGAACACCCGCUGAACUUAAGCAUAUCAAUAAGCGGAGGA